AGCCGGUGAUGACACAUAUAAAUAUAUUUUCUGACACCUCGUAUGAGAGCUUUCAGCUCCUGAUUCUAACUGCUGUCUGAGGCUG